rnacentral:rRNA from 1 species
GAUGAACGCUGGCGGCGUGCCUAAUACAUGCAAGUCGAGCGAACAGACGAGGAGCUUGCUCCUCUGACGUUAGCGGCGGACGGGUGAGUAACACGUGGAUAACCUACCUAUAAGACUGGGAUAACUUCGGGAAACCGGAGCUAAUACCGGAUAAUAUAUUGAACCGCAUGGUUCAAUAGUGAAAGACGGUUUUGCUGUCACUUAUAGAUGGAUCCGCGCCGCAUUAGCUAGUUGGUAAGGUAACGGCUUACCAAGGCAACGAUUCGUAGCCGACCUGAGAGGGUGAUCGGCAACACUGGAACUGAGACACGGUCCAGACUCCUACGGGAGGCAGCAGUAGGGAAUCUUCCGCAAUGGGCGAAAGCCUGAAGGAGCAACGCCGCGUGAGUGAUGAAGGUAUUCGGAUCGUAAAACUCUGUUAUUAGGGAAGAACAAAUGUGUAAGUAACUAUGCACGUCUUGACGGUACCUAAUCAGAAAGCCACGGCUAACUACGUG